GUUUAGACUUACUGUUUUCCAUUUUUUAAAACUGGAGUUCAACAAUAUAAUCCUGUUUCAUUAUUUGAUUAAAAUACUGUAUUAUAUUGUUGGCAGCUAAUCUUAAACAAAUUUUACACUAGGGUUAAAAGCCGUGUUGUUUGCCCUCUUUGCUUGAAGGUUUUAGGUAUAUUUCAGCUCACUCAAUAUUGUUGAUGUGUGUGGUUUGGCUUGCAGCAGCAUUGAUCUCAGAGGCCCAUCACACUAUCAUUUUCACUUGAGCAUCAUUGGUACUAGGUGAAAAGUUAAAUCCCGGUUUGUCAGGAACGAAGAGAUUUUCAGGGGGUGCUAAGUUAGUAUAAUUACAAUUACUACCUACUUUACUAAAUAAAUACAGUACUGUGCAAAGGUUUUAGGCACUCUAGAUGUUUAGAUUCUUAUCUAUCUUACAGCAUCAGGAGGCAUCUGAUUGGUCCCAAAUUAAUACUGCUGCAUGAGAACAAGCCCAGAUGUACUGCUAGACUUAUAAAGAACCUUCCUGCAACAGAUGGCCUGACCCACACUGAGCCCUGAUCUGAACAUCAUGGAGUCAGUCUGGAGUUUCAUGAGCAGACAAAAGACAGCAAGACAGCCUACACCCACAGAGGAACUAACAGGCAGUGGAAGAGGGGAGAGAAGGGAGAAUGCUGACUGAGUUAUACCCACAGUCUACAUCUUAUGAGUCAGUCUAAAGUUAUCCUAACUAUCUCAAGUUUAGCACAACCAGUUCACCCCACCAGAUUUGCCUAAACCCCUUGGUCCACGUCUUCAAGAACAGCCAGAAAACUGUAGUAAAAAAGAGCCUUUGCAGGUUUGCUUGAAAAAACUAGUCUACUUGUCCAUAUAGUGGGAUAAAAUGUUAGCUUACAACUUGUAACAGCUGUGUUCCAGCAUAAUCUGUUCAUAAAUACCAAGCUCACUGACUGAAAUACAUUUUUUCAUUGCUGUUGCAAGUGUUAUUGCUUAUAUAAGCCAUCUCUGCAUCAUGUUAUUCACAGACUAGAUUCGAAAUUCUUGUUUAGUGACCUAAACAAGAAUAUCAGAUAUACCAAACACAUACAGAAUACAGAUCGGUAACAAACACUAUUGCCUUGCUUAUAACCAUGUAAAUAUCAUGCUGAAUUGCGCUAAGAACUGCAAACGGUUCUUUGACCAUAAUUACCACAAGAAAUGUUAAAGGGUCACAUAAACAAACCUUUGUUGUCACCACUUAGAUAAAAUUCUGUGUCUUGGCACGUUGUCACUGUUUGAUCCAGACAAAAGCAGCUGUAGACAUAAAUAAACUGGGUCAUAGUCACUUGACAGAAGACAGUCACUUUAGGUUGUCUGCUCUAGUGCACCCCUACUAAUUUCAGCUCCACCUUAAAUCAUUUGGUUCUGGAACUAGGCCUGGCCCAAGAUGCUUGGAAAAGGCUUUACUUUUAGCUUCUAAAUGUUUUGCAAAGUAAUUCACAUUUUAAACAGUUUAAUUCCGAAAAUAUAGCAGAUUAGACUUAUGGUUAAGACCAUGCCAACUCAUAGUUAAGGAAAACCAGUCACCCAGAGUACAUCACAAACUAAAACAGUGAAAUAAACUCCCUCCUAAGAUACACAGAGAAGCACUGCAUUACAACUUUUCCAAACUGUGUGUUUAAAUUUACAACAUCCAAAAUACUUUACCCAUCAAUGACUAGCAUCAGUUGACUAUAACCGAUAAGAGCUGUCAGAAUCUCUUAAACAUUCUGACCAGUCCAAAUCCUUUAAGUCUUGUAAAUUUUGAGAUGAUGCCACUGUAAAUUAGACUUGUAGCACAUCCCAACACCCUGUCAAUGGUUCAUGGUUGAUACAGACCAAGAGUUAGUUAUACCUACAGUACAGAAGAAAAUACAUUCCUGCACAAUGUCACUAAAUUUCAAAUGAAUCAAAUUUGUGUCAGCUUACAUUAGUUGCAUUACUUCAAAUCUAAUCAGUUGUAGUAAGUAUUUGCUCUGACAAGUACUGACAGUUUGCAUUUACUAUAUUAAAAAUGUAGCCCCCCACAGUUGGAAUUCAGUGCAACAAAUGUCAGUACAGUAUUGAAAAAAAGCAUUUUGUUUCAGUACUUGAUAUGUCCACCUUUAUUUUGGUGACAAAUACAAUCCUCCUCAGUAUGGAUGAUACCAGUGCUGCACAAAAUUCUGCAGAGACAGACUUUGAUAGUUUGUAGUCUUCCCUUUUUCUUCUUUGGAAGCUCUUCUGUGAUUUUGGCAGUGUGCUUUGGAUCAGUAUCGUGCUAUAUUCCUCUUCUGCCAAGCCUCUGAAGACAAAGAGUCAUCUUGGCAUCCAGUAUCUUUGUAUAUCCAUAGGGGUUCAUGGUGCUAUUUAUACAAUAUAUUGCCAAAAGCAUUCGCUCACCUGCCUUAACUCGCAUAUGAAUGUAAAUGACAUCCCAUUCCUAAUUCAUAGGGUUCAAUAGGAUGUCGGUCCAUCCUUUGCAGCUAUAACAGCUUCAACUCUUCUGGGAAGGCUGUCCACAAGGUUUAGGAGUGUGUUUAUGGGAAUUUUUGACCAUUCUUCCAGAAGCACAUUUGUGAGGUCACACACUGAUGUUGGACGAGAAGGCCUGGCUGUCAGUCUCUGCUCUAAUUCAUCCCAAAGGUGUUCUAUCGGGUUGAGGUCAGGACUCUGUGCAGGCCAGUCAAGUUCAUCCACACCAGACUCUGUCAUCCAUGUCUUUAUGGAUCUUGCUUUGUGCACUGGUGCACAGUCAUGCUGGAAGAGGAAGGGGUCAGCUCCAAACUGUUCCCACAAAGUUGGGAGCAUGGAAUUGUCCAAAAUGUCUUGGUAUGCUGAAGCAUUCAGAGUUCCUUUCACUGGAACUAAGGGGCCAAGCCCAGUUCCUGAAAAACAACCCCACACCAUAAUCCCCCCUCCACUGAACUUUACACUUGGCACAAUGCAGUCUGACAAGUAUCGUUCUCCUGGCAACUGCCAAACCCAGACUCGUCCAUCAGAUUGCCAGAUGGAGAAGCGUGAUUGGUCACUCCAGAGAAGGCGUCUCCACUGCUCUAGAGUCCAGUGGCAGCAUGCUUUACACCACUGCAUCCUACGCUUUGCAUUGCACUUGGUGAUGUACGGCUUGGAUGCAGCUGCUCGGCCAUGGAAACCCAUUCCAUGAUGCUCUCUGCUGAAGCACUGUUCUUGAGCUAAUCUGAAGGCCACAUGAAGUUUUAAGGUCUGUAGCGAUUGACUCUGCAGAAAGUUGGCGACCUCUUCGCACUAUGCGCCUCAGCAUCCGCUGACCCCACUCCGUCAGUUUACAUGGCCUACCACUUGGUGGCUGAGUUGCUGUCAUUCCCACACACUUCCACUUUCUUAUAAUACAGCUGACAGUCGACUGUGGAAUAUUUAGGAGCGAGGAAAUGUCACGACUGGAUUUGUUGCACAGGUGGCAUCCUAUCACAGUUCCACGUUGGAAUUCACUGAGCUCCUGAGAGCGACCCAUUCUUUCACAAAUGUUUGUAAAAGCAGUCUGCAUGCCUAGGUGCUUGAUUUUAUACACCUAUGGCCAUGAAAGUGAUUGGAACACCUGAUUCUGAUUAUUUGGAUGGGUGAGCUAAUACUUUUGACAAUAUAGUGUAACUGUCAUCUCCCCAACACCUUUGUACCCAUGCAACCACAUAUCAUCACACUCUCACCUCUGUGCUUCAUUGUCAGGACUAUGCAUUCAACGUGGUAGUCCUGGUCAGGUUCAUGCCAGGACCCCAUCUAAGAUGAACAAAUUUAUCCUGGUCUCACUUGACCAGAGAAUGUGCUCCCAGUUUUCAAUAGGCUUUGUUUUAUGUUCUUUAGCUAAGUUUCAUCUUGCAGUUUUGUGCCAAAGAGCAAGAAAGGUUUUUUUGUUUGGGAACCAUCCAUAGUGCACGCCAAUUUCCACUGAAAACCCCUGUACCAAGUUUUAAACACUUUCCCUUUUGUUUUUUUAGAGCUAGCUUUUCCAAGUAGCAGACUGUGCAUAGUAUGAUCUUAGGACAGCCAUUGCCAGUUAAGUACUAGUACUGUGGCUAAUUUUAUACCUUCUAAUUACUGUUUAGAUGGAUUUUAGUUGAUCACCAAUCUUCAUGUAUCCCUUUUCAUCCUUUUGAAAGGAUACAUGAAAAAAAUUACUUUCGCUGGCACUUUAAUACAAUACAGUCAAGUCCACAAAUAUUUGGACACAGACACAAUUUUCAGCAUUUCGGCUCUGUACACCAUCACAAUGAAUUUGAAAUGAAAAUAUCAAAAUGUGCUUUAAGUACAGACUUUCAGCUUUAAUUUGAGAGAAUUUACAUCCAAAUCAGGUAAACGAUGGAAGAAUUACAACGCAUUUUAGAUAUACCCUCCACCUUUUAAUAAUUGGACAAUUGGCUGCUCAGCUCUCCCAUGGCCAGGUGUGUUAUUCACUCAUUAUUCCAUCGUUUGGAAUCUGGUGAGGUCAACUCCUUUAAAUAUGAAGUCAUUAUCAGUGAAGCUAGCCAUCAUUAGGCUGAAAAAUCAAAACAAACCCAUCAGAGACAUAACAAAAACAAGAAAAACCUCUUCACAACAGUUGACCAGAUAAAGAAGACUCUCCAGGAGGUAGGCGCAUCUGUGUCAAAGUCAACAAUUAGGAGAAUAUUUCACCAGAGUGAAUACAGAGUGUUUACCACAAGGUGUAAACCACUGGUGAACCUCAAAAACUGGAAGGCCAGAUUAGAGUUUGCCAAAAAACAUCGAAAAGAGCCUAUGAAGUUCUGAAACAGCAUCCUAUGGACAGAUGAGACAAAGAUCAACUUGUACCAGAGUGAUGGGAAGAGAAGAGUCUGGAGAAGGGAAGGAACUGCUCAAGAUCCAAAGCAGACCACUUCAUCAGUGAUGCAUGGUGGUGGUGGUAUGAUGUCGUAGGCAUGUAUGGCUGCCAGUUGAACUGGUUCUCUUCUAUUUAUUGAUGAUGUGACUGCUGGCAAAAGCAGCAGAAUGAAUUCUGAAUGUUUCAGGCAAUAUUAUCUGCUCAUAUUCAGCCAAAUGCUUUAGAACUCAUUGGACGAUGCUUCACGGUGGAGAUGGACAAUGACCCGAAACAUACAGCGAAAGCAACCAAAGAGUAUUUUAAGGCAGAGAAGUGGAAUGUUCUGCAAUGGCCAAGUCAAUCACCUGACCUGAAUCCAAUCAAGCUGCAUUUCACUUGCUGAAGACAAACAAAAGGGAAAAUGCCCCACGAACAAGCAGGAAGUGAAGACAGCAGCAGUAGAGGCCUGAAGAAAACCCCUUCACAGCAGUUGGCUGGAUCAAGAAGACUCCCCAGGAGGUAGGUGUAUCUAUGUCAAAGUCAACAAUUAGGAGAAUAUUUCACCAGAGUGAAUACAGAGGGUUCACUACAAGGUGCAAACCAUUGUUGAGCCUGAAAAACAGGAAGGCCAGAUUAGAGUUUGACAAAACACAUCGAAAAGAGCCUGUACAGUUUUGGAACAAUAUCCUAUGGACAGAUGAGACGAAGAUCAACUUGUAACAGAAUGAUGGAAAGAGGAGAGUCUGGAGAAGAGAAGGAACUGCUCAAGAUCCAAAGCAGACCACCACAUCAAUGAAGCAUGGUGAUGGUAGUAUAUUGGUGUGGGUGUGUAUGGCUGCCACUGGAACUGGUUCUCUUCUAUUUAUUGAUGAUUUAACUGCUGAAUAAUGCAGCAGGAUGAAUUCUGAAGUGUUUCAAGCAAUAUUAUCUGCUCAUAUUCAGCCAAAUGCUUCAGAACUCAUUGGACGAUGCUUCACAGUGCAGAUGGAUAAUGACCUGAAGCAUACUGCGAAAGCAACAAAAGAGUAUUUUAAGGCAAAGAAGUGGAAUGUUCUGUAAUGGCCAAAUCAAUCUGGGAGAAAUGGUGUAUUUUCUGGAAAAAUUCCAGGGGUGCCAAUAAUUUCGACCAGGACUGUAAAUGAUAUAAAAUGUGAUGCAAUGCCUAUACCGUUCACCUGAGUUGGAUGUAAAUACCCUCCAGUUAAGCUGAAAGUCUGCACGUAAAGCACAUCUUGAUUAUUCCAUUGUGAUGGUGUACAGAUCCGAAAUGCUAAAAAUUGCGUCAAAUAUUUAUGGGCCUGACUGUAUUCCCACAACCCAAAGGUACAAAACUGAUCAAGUUGUAGUUUAUACACGUCAUCUUAUAAACAUGUUCAUGGAGGCAGGCUAAUUAGAAAUGUGUAGUUGAGAAUAGACAAAUUAGAAUAGAAUUAAUUUAUUGUCAUUGCAAAUUUUGCAGGUGAUAAAUUUUUGAAUCAUAUAACAUUUAAGUGACGUUGCAUUGGGAUGUGCUCCGUUCUGUACACUGUAACAGUUGUAGACUUGUGGUUUGCAGCAUAACUGCAAUGCUGGAGCACCUUUUUUGAAUACAUUUCUAAUGUCCCUCUUGCAAAUUCAAGCAGCCAUCAUUUUUUAUGACACAAUUAUGCCUGUGUUACAGCUACACAAGUGCAACUGCUACACGGUUUCUCCAUAGUGCAUAUGCAUAAAAUGAAUCACCUAAGCUGAACUAAAAUAUCACUUAAUGAGUGUCAGCUACCUCACAUUUUCCUUUUCGGAGAACUGUAAGUUCUUCUUGUCCACCUAGUGGGGAAGAUUGUGUGAUGUAAUUGAAUGCGGUGAAACAAAUGGACCUUGUGGUGAAAUUGUUUUUAUUGGUUAAUGUCAGUGACAGAUAGCAGUUACUGUUUAGGGAUCAUGUAUCAGUUUGCAUAAAAAACAAGAGUGCCUUUUGGUUCAUUUAAAAUAACAGUGUGCAGAAACUCCAUUCAUUGGACUAAAAAGGAAGUGUCCUGCAUCCAACAGUUUUUUGUAAUGUUCCACAAGACAUUCAUUGCUGCUUUACACAGUGCUUGGCUAUGCGAGCUCCAUCUGCAGUUUUCACACAUCUAUAGUACAAUUCACAUGAAAACUCUAAUUUUGCAAUUAAAGAGAGGUAGUAGAGGAGACCUCGAGCAGAUAGAAGUGCUUUCAUUUACAUAGUCUGACAUAAAGACUUACAAACAAGUUAAUUCAAUCCAUACUCAACUCCUUAGGAUUAACAGUUUUGAUCAGAUCACACAGAGCUUUGCUUGAACUUUGGUUGAUGUGCAAUAUAUUUUAAUAUCCUCCAAUCAUGCAUCUGUACAGAGGUUAUGGACAAUCUUACAUACACACAAACAUACAAUGAUAAUAUUCUUGUGUCAUAUGAACACACUUCACAUGCACACUGGAUUGUGAAUUUCCCCAGAAGGAUCAAUAAAGUUGAUCUUCUCUUACACCCACAUAUAAUGAACUUAUUAGUACUUACAGGUAAUUUGUUCAGGUCUGGUGGCUGUAUGAACACUGCAGGCUGGUGUAAUAUAAAAUAAUGUUUCUCACUUCUAUCUGGAGAAGAGAAUGCUGUAGCCACUGCUUAUCUUUCAUCUUCCUCUCCAUCUCCACACCACAUCAGUUCUUAAUGGAAUUAAGAAUUCAUUCAAUUAUUAGUGGGUAAUCUCUUUUGGAUGAAUCCUCUUGACAAAGGGUAAAAUGUUUUAAAGGAAAAAAUCUGUAGUUUUACAAAACUAAGAUGUAUUUUUUUGUUCUUGUCAUUCUUUUUGCCUGUGAUCAUUUACUUACCUUUUAACCUUGGGUCACAAGGACCCCACAGGGAGCAGCAAACAGGAGCUGUUUACCCAGGUUUCCUAAAAUACUUCUCCGAUUCAUUAUCAGGGAAGAUACCAAGCAGUUACUAAUAUUGUUGAGAAAUGAACUGGGUAAUUAUAUCACCACCUGUGCAAAGAUUGAACAUCUUCAAUCUUCUCCCUCUUUGGUUUGAUUUUCAUGUCCCUUGUUUUUCUUUGGUUUCAAGUUGAUUUGUCUUUUACAUGACACAUUUAGACUGAAGCAAUAUUUAGUGAUGAUAGUGAUUUUUAUGGAAGUGCUAAUAGCUUUAAUACGUGACACAAACCCCAAAUGUAAUAGGAUGAAAUGAGUCUAAAUGCAGUACUGAUCUCAUUGUGUCUCACAACUAGUUACUUUAUUGAUAGAAACAAAAUAUUAAAUUAGUCUUUCUAAUUUAAGUUCUUUUUUCUUUCUUUUUCCUUUGGCUAGAUACAGAUUUACACGAGACAUUCCAAAAUUGAAGUAGAUUGAAUAAAUCUAAUUUGAAACUGGUAGUUAAGAACUUCUUCUAGCUGGGUAAAGAUGCAGAAGAUAUUUCUUUGCAUCUCCUCAACUGCUUAAUUUUAGAUACAAAGGGCUAAAAGUAGUAGUAGUAGUCUAGUGACUGCUAAACCACGGCUUCCAGGCACCUGGAGGUUAAUUAAAGUUCUGUGAACAAAAUUAUUAUUUAAGUGCUGCAGUUUGUCCCAUCACAUCAGAAUGACAGCUAACUAUGACUUUCAUUUUCAAAUUAGAAAAUUUAAAUGUACACUGCAUCUUUGAGCAACUUUGAAAUUAGACAGAAAGACAUUCUGGGGAUAGACAACAUCUAAGAUGGAAUGAGAUUAUGUGCUAUUGUACAUUUAACAACCACAACAUUACAGCCACUGAUACAUGAUGUGACAAUACAAUGUUCUGCUGGGAAACCUUGGGUCCUGGUAUUUAUGUGGAUAUUUCUUUGACACGUACCACCCACCUAAACUUUAUUGCUGACCAGACACAAAGGAACAGCUCAAGGAACACAAGAGCUCAAGACAUUGGGCUAGCAACUAAACUCCUGCUGUCAGACACCACAGGAUACCCCCAGAGACACCAAUGAGUCAAAGGUUGUGUUGGCCACACAAGGGGGUCCUGCACAAUGUAAGACAGGUGGUUUUAAUCUUGUGGUUGAUCAGUGUAUAUUACUGUUUCUACAAUACUAGAAAACUUUUAGCUUUAGUUGGGAGCUUUGAAAAUGAUUGGAACUCUAAAUGUUGUUGAAAGAUAAUUAAACUCUACUGACUGUGGGCUUGGUCAUAUAAAUCACUGGCAGGUUAACAUUGCUUCACAUGCUAUUGCAUUACAUGCACUGGCAAAGGUUCAUUAUCAGUUAACCUGGCUAGCUGUCUCACUAACCAAAAUGCCAGUCAUUAACUGUAUAUAACCUUCGUUUUAGACUCUGCAGCAUCCUUCUCAGAAGUCAGGACAGUAAACAUAUCUUUGCUUUAGAUUUACUGAGCUAUGUUCUAUAUCAGCAUUUAAUAAAGAAUGCGAUAUGAAAACAAUGAGCAAGUACAUUUUCAGACCUUGACUAUUGGCAGUGCUAAUGGUAAUACCCUCAGCUUAAUUGUAUUUAGUGAAAAAGACUGUGUCAAAAUAUAAGUGUGACCAGGCUGUCAGUAAGAUGAAAAUUCUGUGGUUUAAGUCAGUUUCUCAGUGUGUGCUGAUGGUUUGCCAGCACUAAUUUCUUUGGAAUAUGUUAGAUUAUUCUCUUAAAGGAAUAUUAGUAAAGGGGAAUUGUAUUAUUUUCCUUCUUAUGUAGGUUCCUUUUGUCUGGUGAAAGCUAUUUGAAACAACAUACAGAAAUGUACACUCAAUCAACAAAGAAAGUAUGCUGAGAGGUUUAUAACCAUAAAAAUGAAAAUGCUCAUUUUAGAGUGUUACAAACACAUUUAUGCUGUUAAAAUAUGCUUUGUCAUUUCUGCAGCUGUCACUUUCAUGAGACACUUUUGUGAUUUAAUGCAUGGGAGUCAGUUUGCUCACUGUAUUGGUUAAACUGACUUCCAGUGUACUCAGUCUGUGACAGUAGUAUAAUGUCCACAGGAGCUUUGUUAAGUCUAAAAAUACACCUCUAAUGAUGAUUAUCUUAGGUUGGAUUGUGUUACAAACUGGAGAUAAAUGCUGAUAAAUGCAUUAAUGAUGCUUUGCAUUAAGGGAAAUUAAGUAUCCUGUCAUUUUAGUGCAUGAUCCAUAAGAAGGACUAAAAUCAGGGUGUCUUGGGCCAUUUUUCAAAAAAUGUCUCUUGUGACUGAUUUAUGCAAGUGUAACUCUAUUGGUUGUAACACUAUAGUUGGAUCCUCCUUUUAAUUCUACAGGGGAAGAAAAGCUAUUUAAAAGCACAGCAAAUGUAUUUAUUGAAUUUGGAUUAUUGACAUUCUAUGGAGGACGUCUCCUUCAGUGAACACAGCAGGACUGACUUUGGUCACAGAAGUGAAUAAACACUCAGUUCUGAUGAGAAGCUGCCGCUUGUUACUUCUACACUUUUUUGGACUCUCUGAUCUGAGUGCUAAAGUGCCAUAAGAAAACAUUCCAAAUUCAUCCGGGUUUCAUAUUCCACAGCUGGACUCCACGGGGCAGCUGAACCAGACCUGGUUUUAGCAGUGACAAAGAAAAAAUGUAUGGGGCUAAGAUGAGCCACUUCAUGUUGUUUAUCUGUGAAAAUGCCAUUUAUACUCUUACUACUUAUGCCAACAUUUAUUGUAACAACCUCUUAUACAACUGCCAUUCAUUGAUCCAGAGGAACAAUCUGGAAAUCAAAAGCAGGAUUCAGAGGAUUCUACAGAUUAUUCUAUAAUAAUGAUGAUGAUGAUGAUGUUUUGUUAAUGAAAGUAUUCUGUAUUUAUUUUCUUCUUUCGAAAAAAAAGAUUAUUUGUGCGUGUGUGGGGGGAAGGGGUGUAAUUUUGUACAGGAUCCGAUUACCUCUGUGUUGAAAUGAUAACAGUGAGCCAUAUUCAAUGUGAGAUACCCUUCUAAAUCAAGAGGAAAGGGCCAUACAGCUGCUGAAUUAGUAUGUUUUGUUUUGUUUUGUUUUUCUUACCAUUUACUGAAUUAUUUAUUUUGUAUUCCUGUAGCAAGCUAACUGUCUGUGAUUUUGGGAGGAAGUGUAGAGCAGUAACAACGUGGCAUAAAUGUAAUCAGGGGAAACAGAGAGAUUUUUAGUGUCCCACUUUGUUCAGUCCUGCAAAUGAUGAGUCUUCAGACAUGAUACCAUUAGAUUUUAGAUUUUUAAACUUAAAACACUGGCAUCAUACUUGGAAAUGCAAAAAUGCCUGGCAGAGAAUGGCCAAACCUUCAAACAGCUGUGGUUCAAAAGUGAGAGAUGUGAGAAUGAACAUAUAAAAGGUUGAAAACUGUGAAAGAUAAGGGCUGCCAUUAUUGUAACAAGUUGUUAAUAUAAUUUUAAAUGUCAUUUUCUGUUUGUUUGCAUGAGAUCUGGGUCAAAAUUAUAAAUGAAAAAAAAACCCUACUAAACAUGAAAAAAAAGUAAAAAGACAACUAAAGAAAUGACAACUUAACAUCAUAUCUUGGUUAAAAGGAUUUCUGCUUUUUAUUUUUAACAACUGUUAUGAAAAUUGACCUCUUGAUUAUAUAUUAAAACCUCCUGCAACUCACACCAUUUCUUUAUCAAUGUCUGUAUUACUAACAAAUUCUGUAUAUGAUUAAAUUAUGCAGACAUUAUCACCAAAGGAAACUUAACUUAAAAUUAAUCAUGAAUUUAAAAUUUGAGUUAAAUUUUUUUCUUCUACUUUAAUGUUAAUUUUUAAUUGAGCGUUGCUCUACUAAAAGUUAAAUAAUAAGCUGCCUUUAAAUUUCAAAUUGUUCAUUUUUCUUUACCAUAUUGGCAGUCCUUUAAAGAUGACAACCUUGGAUGUAAUGCUGUUGAAAACCACUGUAACUCCAAACAAAUGCUGUGUUUGAGCUUUGUGUGCUUUUUUUUUCCUCAGGAAGAGAUGGGAAAUGUAGUCUACAAAAUCAGGGUCUCCCAGACAUGGUGAUCUGUUACUCUGUGUGCGUGUGUGCGCGUGUGUGUGUAUGUAUGUGUGUGCGUGUGUGUUUAGGAGUUCAUGUGUAAAGUUUGUAUAUGUUUCAUUUGUAUAUAUUACCAUUUGGAAGAUGCACUGUGUGUCUUUAAAAAGUGCUUCCUGAGUACCUUGUUUUUUAUGUCGGGCCUUUCCUCAGUACGGUCUAGUAGCCUCAUAGAGUCAUUCUGUAUAUUAACUCUCCACUUGUACCUGCGACCAAUCUCUUGUGCUUGUACAGAAAAUGAUGGGGGUGUUUCAUGACGCAUGCAGACACAAUAUUAUACUUAUGAAUCUAUAUCUAAGUUAGAAACAUGUAUUUGGUUUAUUUAUGCUCUUAUUUAUUGAUUUUUCAAACUACAACAUUUUGUUGAAGUGGUUUACCAUGCUCUUCUGAUCUUCUGUUGUAUUGUAAAGAAACUAUUUUAUGUCCAUAACUAUCGAUGAACCCUUAAUAAAAUUAACUAUCAAC
ensembl:lncRNA